UACGGGGGGGGCAAGCGUUGUUCGGAAUUACUGGGCGUAAAGGGUUCGUAGGUGGCUUGCUAAGUCAGACGUGAAAUCCCUCAGCUUAACUGGGGAACUGCGUCUGAUACUGGCGAGCUUGAGUGCAGGAGAGGAACGCGGAAUUCCAGGUGUAGCGGUGAAAUGCGUAGAUAUCUGGAGGAAUACCGAUGGCGAAGGCAGCCCCCUGGGAUAACACUGACGCUCAUGCACGAAAGCGUGGGGAGCAAACAGG
rnacentral:rRNA from 1 species